rnacentral:rRNA from 1 species
UACGUAGGGUGCGAGCGUUGUCCGGAAUUAUUGGGCGUAAAGAGCUCGUAGGCGGUUUGUUGCGUCGGCUGUGAAAUCCCGAGGCUCAACCUCGGGUCUGCAGUCGAUACGAGCAAACUAGAGUGUUGCAGGGGAGACUGGAAUUCCUGGUGUAGCGGUGAAAUGCGCAGAUAUCGGGAGGAACACCGGUGGCGAAGGCGGUUCUCUGGGCCUUACCUGACGCUGAGGAGCGAAAGCGUGGGGAGCGAACAGG